UCAAAGCAGAAGUGUUCUUUUAUUUUCAAUUUUUAUCGACAGAAGUCAAAUUUUUAUUGUAAAUAUUUUCUGAUGGUAAAAUAAUUCUUUGUUUAACUGAGAUUAAUUGGAAAAAUUUUUUAUACGUAACUAUUAAUGAAGAAAAAUCUGAUUAUUUCAAUGAUUAAAGUGAUCAUUUGAAGAUCAAAAUCCAUAAACUCUGUUAAAUGUUUGGAAAGCUGAACUGAGUCAAAUCUGGUUAUAUCAUAAACCACCUAGAAAUGUGUGUGAUCAGUGUUAGCGCGAAGACAAAUAGGAACAUGCUAUAUAUGUGGUAUCGAUUGGAUCUACAGACCCACAGGAUCCAGAUUUACAUGUGAACCCUGAAGAAGCAUAAGGAUGUUUUAUUGGAAUUACACACCUGGUUGUUGUAACAGAAAAAAAAAUCCAUAACCACAAAAACACAAUCAACUCUUUUCACUACGAGCUUCAUUACUCUGCAACCCUUCAAAAUUAUUUUUGCAGAGUAAUGAAGGAGAGUACAGUCGCCAGGAAAAUCGCAGCGGGAUGUCGGGAGUCUGGUAGCACUCGCGGGGCUCAUCGUGCGGUGAAAGCGAGUGAGAAAGCUGCUGUUAAAAUGAGAGAGCACUAGAAAACGAGAGAUAGGACGUGACGCGUCGCUGGAGA